rnacentral:rRNA from 1 species
GACGAACGCUGGCGGCGUGCUUAACACAUGCAAGUCGAACGGAAAGGCCUCUUUCGGGGGGUACUCGAGUGGCGAACGGGUGAGUAACACGUGAGUAACCUGCCCUUGACUUUGGGAUAACUUCAGGAAACUGGGGCUAAUACCGGAUAGGAGCUCCUGCUGCAUGGUGGGGGUUGGAAAGUUUCGGCGGUUGGGGGUGGACUCGCGGCGUAUCAGCUUGUUGGUGGGGUAGUGGCUUACCAAGGCUUUGACGGGUAGCCGGCCUGAGAGGGUGACCGGCCACAUUGGGACUGAGAGACGGCCCAGACUCCUACGGGAGGCAGCAGUGGGGAAUAUUGCACAAGGGGUGGAAGCCGGAUGCAGCAACGCCGUGUGCGGGAUGACGGCCUUCGGGUUGAAAACCGCUUUCGCUCAUGACGAAGCUUUGUGUGACGGUAGUGGGUAAAGAAGCACCGGCUAACUACGUG